rnacentral:rRNA from 1 species
CCUACGGGUGGCAGCAGUGGGGAAUAUUGGACAAUGUGGGGAACCCUGAUCCAGCCAUGCCGCGUGUGUGAAGAAGGCCCUCGGGUUGUAAAGCACUUUCAGUGAGGAAGAACGCCUGGUGGUUAAUACCCAUCAGGAAAGACAUCACUCACAGAAGAAGCACCGGCUAACUCCGUGCCAGCAGCCGCGGUAAUACGGAGGGUGCGAGCGUUAAUCGGAAUUACUGGGCGUAAAGCGCGCGUAGGUGGCUUGAUAAGCCGGUUGUGAAAGCCCCGGGCUCAACCUGGGAACGGCAUCCGGAACUGUCAAGCUAGAGUGCAGGAGAGGAAGGUAGAAUUCCCGGUGUAGCGGUGAAAUGCGUAGAGAUCGGGAGGAAUACCAGUGGCGAAGGCGGCCUUCUGGACUGACACUGACACUGAGGUGCGAAAGCGUGGGUAGCAAACAGGAUUAGAUACCCUGGUAGUC